rnacentral:rRNA from 1 species
CGUACUGUGAAGCAUCCUGUUAAGUCAGGCAACGAGCGAGACCCACGCCCACAGUUGCCAGCGUACUCUCUGGAGUGACGGGUACACUGUGGGGACCGCCGCUGCUAAAGCGGAGGAAGGAAUGGGCAACGGUAGGUCAGUAUGCCCCGAAUAUCCCGGGCUACACGCGAGCUACAAUGGUUGGUACAAUGGGUAUCUACCCCGAAAGGGGACGGGAAUCUCCUAAAACCAAUCUUAGUUCGGAUUGAGGGCUGCAACUCGCCCUCAUGAAGCUGGAAUCCGUAGUAAUCGCGUUUCAACAGAACGCGGUGAAUACGUCCCUGCUCCUU